CAGUCGCCGCGGUAAUACGUAGGUGGCAAGCGUUGUCCGGAAUUAUUGGGCGUAAAGCGCGCGCAGGCGGAUAGGUCAGUCUGUCUUAAAAGUUCGGGGCUUAACCCCGUGAUGGGAUGGAAACUGCCAAUCUAGAGUAUCGGAGAGGAAAGUGGAAUUCCUAGUGUAGCGGUGAAAUGCGUGGAUAUUAGGAAGAACACCAGUGGCGAAGGCGACUUUCUGGACGAAAACUGACGCUGAGGCGCGAAAGCCAGGGGAGCGAACGGGAUUAGAUACCCCAGUAGUCCCUGUCUCUUAUACA
rnacentral:rRNA from 1 species